rnacentral:rRNA from 1 species
AUUGAACGCUGGCGGCAGGCCUAACACAUGCAAGUCGAGCGAGCGGCGGACGGGUGAGUAAUGUCUGGGAAACUGCCUGAUGGAGGGGGAUAACUACUGGAAACGGUAGGUAAUACCGCAUACCAUCAGAUGUGCCCAGAUGGGAUUAGCUAGUGGGUGGGGUAACGGCUCACCUAGGCGAAGAUGCCUAGCUGGUCUGAGAGGAUGACCAGCCACACUGGAACUGAGACACGGUCCAGACUCCUACGGUAGGCAGCAGGAGGGAAUAUUGCACAAUGGGCGCAAGCCUGAUGCAGCCAUGCCGCGUGUGUGAAGAAGGCCUUCGGGUUGUAAAGCACUUUCAGCGGGGAGGCGUUACCCGCAGAAGAAGCACCGGCUAACUCCGUGCCAGCCGCCGCGGUAAUUC